GGGCUGGCGGGUACCGACUGCGCUGUCAUCUGUGCCAUGAGGGGUCAGUGCUCAGCGGGCAGGGUGAGCGCUCUUGGGGUCUCACAACCCCAGUAGCCCACUUCUAUCCCCAGAUCACCCCUGAGCCCUGCAGAGUCACUUCUCUGGGUGCUGAGGUCGCCUGUCCUGCAGAGCAGGGGCUCUCCUCCCUGUGUGCUGUGCUGCAAAGGGAAUGUAAUUUAUUGUCUUGAAUAAACACUUGGUUUGGGUUUCUCCAUCUCCUCCUGUCUCUGGUUUGUGCUUUAACCCCAAAGGGGGCUGCAGCCGAGCCCAGGACCAUGGCCCAGCCUGGGAUCCUUUGGGUUCUGUAAAGCACGGAGCAGAACAACAUGAAAGGUUACGUAAAAUC